CAGCAGCCGCGGGAAUACGAAGGUCCCGAGCGUUGUUCGGAAUCACUGGGCGUAAAGGGAGCGUAGGCGGCGUGGUAAGUCAGAUGUGAAAUCCCGGGGCUCAACCCCGGAACUGCAUCCGAUACUGCCAUGCUAGAGGACUGGAGAGGUAGCUGGAAUUCUUGGUGUAGCAGUGAAAUGCGUGGAGAUCAAGAGGAACACUCGUGGCGAAAGCGAGCUACUGGACAAUAACUGACGCUGAGGCUCGAAGGCCAGGGUAGCGAAAGGGAUUAGAUACCCCCGUAGUCCCUGUCUCUUAUAA
rnacentral:rRNA from 1 species